rnacentral:lncRNA from 1 species
GCACAUAAAGAUCUAUAAAAAUUUAAUUUAACGAUCCUUACCCUUAGCAGGAGUAGUCGUUGCCCCUUCUACUCUCGACUUUGCAUUCCUUUCCCUUCCUAGUCAAUUUCUAUUUUGCUCUAUAUUACUUUGAAAUACCCAAUAGUGCAUAAUUGGAUAGAAAUUUAUAUUACAAGAUAGUCAAAUUGUUUGCCCACAUGAUUAAUUUCCAUAAGCAAUAGCAAUAGAUCCUUUGGUCCUUCUUCUUCUUGGAACCCCACCU